AUUGAACGCUGGCGGCAGGCCUAACACAUGCAAGUCGAACGAGUAGCGGACGGGGGAGGAAUGUCUGGGAAACUGCCCGAAAGAGGGGGAUAACAACUGGAAACGGUAGCUAAUACCGCAUACCAUCGGAUGUGCCCAGAUGGGAUUAGCUAGUGGGGGGGGUAACGGCUCACCUAGGCGACGAUCCCUAGCUGGUCUGAGAGGAUGACCAGCCACACUGGAACGGAGACACGGUCCAGACUCCUACGGGAGGCAGCAGUGGGGAAUAUUGGACAAUGGGCGCAAGCCUGACGCAGCCAUGCCGCGUGUAUGAAGAAGGCUUUCGGGUUGUAAAGUACUUUCGGCGGGGAGGCGGUACUCGCAGAAGAAGCACCGGCUAACUCCGUGCCAGCCGCCGCGGUAAUUC
rnacentral:rRNA from 1 species